rnacentral:rRNA from 1 species
CGGCAGCACAGUGUAGCAAUACAUGGGUGGCGAGUGGCGCACGGGUGCGUAACACGUAUGCAAUUUGCCCAUAACUGGGGGAUAGCCCUCCGAAAGGAGGAUUAAUACCCCAUAACCCAGCGAGGUGGCAUCACCUUUCUGGUAAAUCUCCGGAGGUUAUGGAUGAGCAUGCGUCUGAUUAGCUAGUUGGUGAGGUAACGGCUCACCAAGGCAACGAUCAGUAGGGGGUCUGAGAGGAUGAUCCCCCACACGGGUACUGAGACACGGACCCGACUCCUACGGGAGGCAGCAGUAAGGAAUAUUGGACAAUGGAGGCAACUCUGAUCCAGCCAUGCCGCGUGAAGGAUGAAGGCCCUACGGGUUGUAAACUUCUUUUCUCUUAGAAAAAACUACUGGUUUCGUACCGGUACUGAUUGUACAAGAGGAAUAAGCAUCGGCUAACUUCGUGCCAGCAGCCGCGGUAAUACGAAGGAUGCAAGCGUUAUCCGGAUUCACUGGGUUUAAAGGGUGUGCAGGUGGGGUAAUAAGUCGGUGGUGAAAGCCCCCGACUCAAUCGGGGAACUGCCAUAGAUACUGUUAUUCUUGAGUGUGGUUGAGGCGGAUGGAGUAUGACAUGUAGCGGUGAAAUGCUUAGAUAUGUCAUAGAACACCGAUCGCGAAGGCAGUCCGCCAAACCAUUACUGACACUGAAACACGAAAGUGCGGGGAUCAAACAGGAUUAGAUACCCUGGUAGUCCGCACCGUAAACGAUGAUCACU